GACGAACGCUGGCGGCGUGCUUAACACAUGCAAGUCGAACGAUGAAGCUGGAGCUUGCUCUGGUGGAUUAGUGGCGAACGGGUGAGUAACACGUGAGUAACCUGCCCUUGACUCUGGGAUAAGCGCUGGAAACGGCGUCUAAUACCGGAUACGAGCUUCCACCGCAUAGUGAGUUGCUGGAAAGAAUUUCGGUCAAGGAUGGACUCGCGGCCUAUCAGCUUGUUGGUGAGGUAACGGCUCACCAAGGCGACGACGGGUAGCCGGCCUGAGAGGGUGACCGGCCACACUGGGACUGAGACACGGCCCAGACUCCUACGGGAGGCAGCAGUGGGGAAUAUUGCACAAUGGGCGCAAGCCUGAUGCAGCAACGCCGCGUGAGGGACGAAGGCCUUCGGGUCGUAAACCUCUUUUAGCAGGGAAGAAGCGAAAGUGACGGUACCUGCAGAAAAAGCACCGGCUAACUACGUGCCAGCAGCCGCGGUAA
rnacentral:rRNA from 1 species